GCCCGCAGCUCGCCCCACUCGCACCCCAGCAGCCAAACCAACCCUAGCCCCCUUUCUCCUUUCCCUCGAUCCCCACGAGCCGCUGUGCCCCUCCCUCUCCCUUCCGUGCGUGCGCUCGGCCAAGGACGCCGUCGUCGCCCUCGGUUGCUCCUCCAGGACCUCGCCUCUUUCUCCUCCUCGCCUUCCCAUCGCUCGCGUGCAGGUUGCCGUCGUCGGAGAACAGGACAGUGCGGGUCGCUUCCUCCUUUUCCUCCCAUCGGAUCUAAAGCAUGCGGUCACGGAGGCGAGCCUCUCCUACAGGGGAGAGAAGAUGGGAGAGAGGGGGAGAAGGAAGGAGAGGAGGGAGGCCCAGCGGCGAACUAGAGAGGGCCGGCCAGCGCCGGCCAGGUCAGGUGCGACCUGGUGGUUGGUGGCGGCUCGAUCCACUACUGGAUCCUUUUUCUUCCACCUCCCCACUGUCUAACACCGAGCACCGGUCAAGGAGCAUGGGAUCGACAACGGCGGCUAGAAGCCAAGAGGGAGGAUGAGGGGAUUGAAGAGGGUCUUCUUGUGUUCAUUGCGUGACCAAGGAAGAGGACGAUGACGCAGGGUGGAACAUGUCAUCCCUCUGGUUUUGGCCUUCCUUUCUGCUGCUGGGCUAAGAUGAGGGUUUCCACUGAUUGUGGUGGCAUGAGGCAGAGAUCGAUAGCCAGAUGCUUGUGGCUGCCACACAAAACGUGCUCUCUUGCUGACCUUGAGGUCCAGCCGCAAUGGACCAUCUCCAAGCUAUCAUGAAGAUAUAAAGCAAGCUGCUGGUUUCGGCAACUUGACAUUUUUGUACUGAUUAGUGAACUAGCAAGGUAUAAUGCUUGCUCGAGGAAAACAUGUAAGCCCGACGUGCACUGAUGGCGCUGCCAGCAGCAUCAAGGAUGGAAUCAGCAAGACACUCUUUUAGGUCAGAGAAAUUGGCGGUCCAAUGAUUAAACCUGAAUCUUCGUGGCUGCUACAGCCACCAUCCUGUUGUAGCUCAUCCAGACCACGACUAUCAAUAGGUGACCAUCUUCAUUGAGGUACAGAAAACAAUCCAUGCAUUGCCAUGCUUAUCUUCUCUGAACUUUACAUCAUUCAAUCCCACUGAUUGACAAGACUUAGAUAUCAUGAGGAUGAUGAUGGAGGAUAGCAAUGUCUCCAUCAGCUGCUACCAUAGAAGGUGGAGACAAGUGGAGGCCAGAGGAGAAGAAAAGGGGCUGUCAGGUCGGACUUUGGUGCGUCUCUGACCAAAUAUGGUUGGAUCCAUCCGACGUUCUUCCAAAUAGUACAGUGCAGAUUUGCUGACUGGUACAACAUCUAAACCUUGGCUACUCUAGCUUAUUUUUACAUCUCUUAGUAUCAACAAAUAACUUGGCUAUAUUAUAUACUUGAAGAUUGCAGCAGGCACAAAAUGCUUGGCUGACCACCCAGUUAAUUGAGUUGUGCCUACGAAGGGUCAGUAGAGUAGUUGCUUUUUCUAAAAAAGUGAGGAUCGGUUUGGUUGCCACAUGACGGUAAGGCUAGAAUGGUGGUACCGAAAAGUGCUUCUGUAAUGGUCAUAUGUGUCGUGGAGUUGGAACUUGGUUCUUUUGAAGUUGGAGUGGCUAGGUUGUCUAUAAAUACAUGCUGCCCACUAAAAUCAGAUUUUAGUAUACUGUUUAAAUCAGGGGUGGAUCAUUGUGUUGUGUUCGAAUUAGAGCUAGAGAGAAGGGAAGAGUUGCGACCAUACCAUUUAUUUAUACUGCAUGGUCCCACUGUCGAUUUUCUUAAAGUACAUUUGCCUUUUCUUAAAGUACAUUACCCUCUUGUUCUUGGAAGAAUAGAUUGAUGCUCCCUACCUCAGGUUUAACAAUGCAUGUAGGUUGGUCAGUGUACUAAUUUUGACGCUUCUUGAUCAGUGUUUCGGAAGUCAUGGGCUUUUGUGUAUUUGUACAAGCUUCCUUCGUCUUUACUAUUUUCUAUCUUUAGUGUUUUUUAUGUUCCUUUGUAACUAUCCAAUGUUCUGCCUUGGGUGGCCUCUGUCUUGGUUUACAGCUCCAUAUGGCUAGCUAUGUAUACGUAUGUAGGUUUUGUUUGGACUGUACUCAAUCGCAUAGAUGUUUCCAUAUUCAUGCAUUCCUCUUUUUACUUGUGAUUGUUAGAUAGUUGAAUAUCAUUGGUUUAUGUCGGCAUUCUGUUUUUGCAAUUUGAAAUAGGUUUUGGUCCAAUGAUAUUAAACUUCACAAUAGGUAGUGGCAUCUUCAGGAAAAAGUAGUGGCAGAUACGAUGGACACUUCUUUUCCGGUGCAGAAAUGAUGCUAUUGACUUGAGUCCUCAACACAUAUUUUUCAGUAACGGAGAGGAUUAUUCACCUUUGCCGCUACAGGCGUUAAGACCUGGCGGAGCCAGGCCAUCAAGCACUAUUAGUGUUCAACACUUGGCCCUGAUGAGCAUGACAACCUGUGCUACCGUCCGAACAUUAGCUAUUCUUCUUUUGGCCUGGAAUGAGACCAGUAGGGGCACCUUGAGCGAGUACUCAAGGAAUGCAGUCAAGUCAUGAUGCCGGUUCCCUUUCGCUAGAUCUUACAUAUUUAAUUAUGUGAGUUCGAAAGCCAAAACUGAUUGAGAUCUUCUGUUCUUACUUGCAGAUGUUAUGUUAUUCAGAGUACUUCGGUUUCCAGUCUCUAUAUAUUAUCAAAUUAUGGGUCAUUUUGAACCUUAUAGGCUUUUAUUAUAUGUUUAGUUAUGCUUCCAUGGGUUUUGCAUAUGUAUUAACAAAAGAACCAGACUACUAUUUUGUUUAUUCUUGAAUCGAAGGACGUACAGUUAAUUUGCUCUUACGAAAGGACUGAGUAGGCAGCUAGCUGAAUGAGAGGACAAUCAUGACAAGCAAACCAACACAUAAAUAGUAAACCCACAAUUUUUACAUCUGCAUCCCGGUGAACUUUUGGUAUGGAUAUGCAUUUUUAUCCUUGGGAGUACUUUGGAUUUUAAGUGGGAAUCAUAGUUAUUUUCUUCUUAACUUUGGUAUGACAAGCAAUGCAGGUGAUAUUCCUAAUGGUUGUUGCUGAUGCUGAAAAACUACUCCUGAAGCACUCGAAGUGCCCUCUCUAUGGUUCAUCACUCACUGGAUCCAGAUGGGCAACCUUCCGCUUCAAAAUUAAAAGAGCAUAGUUUUUGCCUGCUAUCAUUGCUUACGAAGAGUAAUCUACCAUGUCCCUAUAUAUAUACAUAAUUGUUGCACCAUCACAAGAUUUCCAUGAUAUGCAUGGGCAUAACUUUCUUUACUGAGGAAAGGCAGGCUGUCAUUUCUUAAGGUUGAAAUUUUCUGUUUUAUAGAAUGGCAACUAUCUGUUCCUUAUCUGGCAUGUGUAUUUGCUUUGUCCUCUACUUCUGAUAAGGCAAGACAGAUCAAACCAACAUAGUAAUCCUCUAAUCCUUCAUUAUAUUCUGAAAAAACACUAUGAUUUUCCGUGUCAGGAUAGUACUAUGUCAAACUGAUGCUUUGUAUUACAUGUUCUGGUGUAUACCCUGGCAAUAUUAGGCAUUUGCUUUGUUUGUUCACACCGCAUUAGUUUUUUUAGUUAUAGCUGGUUUUAUUUCCGAUUCAAACCCAUCCAUUUGUCCUGUUUUCAUUUGUUUCUUAUAAAUUCUUUCUGAUAAGAUGUUGUCUUUCAGUUUUAUAUUUGUUCUCUUAAUUUCAUUUGUUUCUUAUGCAAGGGUUCUCAAAAAUUACUUUUGUAGGCAAGACAAAACUAAAAAGGUGAUCUGGGACAAGUGGAAGGAGGGAAGCCGUUGUAAGAUCGAUAAUAACUUGCCGACAAGAUCAUGUUCGUUUAGACCUUUCCUUACUAAAAGUUAUUUAUCUGUCGCAAGUGUUUCUGUUGGAACUAUCAAAUUCAAACUCCUAGAUGUCUAUGUCAGGAUGUAUAACUUUGUCCAGGUAGAGAUAUCCCCACUGAUCUUUUCGUGAAUCAUUUCACACUUAUUUCUGUAAAGUGCUGCUGAUUUUAGUAAACUCCCUUGGUUCAGAAAAUAAUAUAAUUCGAGCUCCUAGAAGAGCUUGUUCAUUCA